rnacentral:tRNA from 1 species
ACCCUGGUGGCUUAGUGAUUAAGAGCUUUGGCUGCUAACCAAAAGAUGUGCAGUUCGAAUCCACCAGGUGCU